UCCUGCACCUGACCUCCGGCUGCCGCUGAUUCUAUUAGCUUAAUCUCACUCUGGCAGACUUUCCCCGUCUUGAUUUUAACCUAGCCUCUAACUGUAUUAUAUUUGUUUUAGGUUUACAUUAAAACAGGACUUUGGUGAGCAUGUGAUGUCAAGACACCUUCGUUCUACCUGGAAGACAAUGACGUUAUGUGACACUGAGGAGGGUGUGUACUUCAAGACCAGCAGACAGAAUGAGAGCUUGUUCCCUGUAUGUGGCGCAGGUUGAUACAGCAAGAGGGGUGUGUGGGUGUGUGGGGAACGGCGGGUACGGUGCUGAAAAUCACCGCAGCAGAGAGAGGCUGGCUUGGGCUGAGUGCUGUGCCUCUGCGACUCAUGUUGUUUGCCCCUACACACUUCUACCCUCCCUUCCCUCACCUCUGCCCCACUUCAGCUGAGAACCGCUGCUCUAGAUUGCUCUCGUGUGAGGGCCUCCUAGGAGACAGAGUUCUUAUGUGGCAACAUGGCACCUUUGAUUGAAAGUGAGUAACACAGAUCCUGCCCUCUGAGGAAACAAGAACUAACCAUACCGCGGUAGAUUUCCACAGAUGGAAAAUGCACGGAGAGAAGCAGAACAAACUCAAGGUAAAACGAUAGGGCUUUCCUGUGUGUGUCUUUAAAACGCAUCUUUUGCUCCCUCACAUAUGGAAUAGGUAAUAUGAAGUUCUAAAAGCUAGAGUUAUAUUAUACCUCACUCAACAGUUAGCUCAUAAAGUAUUCUUAUUUUUCACUAGUGGAUUGGGAUAUGAUUUCAGCCUCAGUGACCAACUUUUUCCUCCAAGCAACUGCUUUAAGAUAGGAAGUAAAAAUGGUAAUUACUACUAACUCUUUUCAUCAACAAGAGGCCACGGGUCAAAAAAAUAUUUUGGUAAGGUCACUGGAUUACUUCUGUUUAGCUUGAUACGGUAAUCCAGCAAGUAGAUAAACAAAACUCAAGGGUAUUUUCUCAACUAUAGAAACAUCAUCUCUCUCUUAAUGAAAUCGCAUACUGUGAACUAAGGAAAUAAGAGAAUUGUCAACAAAUAAUUUUGGUUGAUUGACUUAAUAAGGUGGAAGUAGGCCAUACUUAAAAAAUCCCCAAAUAUGGAACAUAUUAGAGAGGGGGGAAAAAACUUGACUUAAGAAAUAAUUCAUAAGGAAAAGUGUGCUCUAAUAGAAUAGAUUUCAAGAAAAAAACUUUAAUAACAUAAAGAUGAGUUUCAUGAGAAUAUGGACACUAAUGUAAAUGGGAGAAUGUACAUGCUAAGGUCGUAUGUAAAAUGUGUACAUAUAGAAAAGUGUCAUUUGGGGUAAAACUAGAAAAUAUUUCCUUAAUCCUUAAGUUUCGCUGUCAGCAAGGAAAGAACAUACCUUUCCAUACCUCUUGAAAAUCAUCUGAGGAAAUAUGUGAAUUUUGAUUAAAUACUGAGAGGUAAUGAAAUAUGGAUUAGUUGGGUUUUGUGCUUGGUUAUAUAAUAACAUAUGUAAUCUAGAGUGAGUCACAAUCUCUCUGAGAGACAUAUCUUUGAAGUGAGAAAGUUGGGCCCGAAACAUGGGUAAGGUUCCUUGAAGCAUUUCUCAAAUUAAAGAAUACUCUGAAGGUCUACUCUACACAGGACAGGUG